rnacentral:rRNA from 1 species
UACGUAGGGUGCAAGCGUUAAUCGGAAUUACUGGGCGUAAAGCGUGCGCAGGCGGUUUUGUAAGUCUGUCGUGAAAUCCCCGGGCUCAACCUGGGAAUUGCGAUGGAGACUGCAAGGCUAGAAUCUGGCAGAGGGGGGUAGAAUUCCACGUGUAGCAGUGAAAUGCGUAGAGAUGUGGAGGAAUACCGAUGGCGAAGGCAGCCCCCUGGGAUAACACUGACGCUCAUGCACGAAAAGCGUGG